GAAGGAAAAUGCUGUCCCAAUAAAAGCUUCUGUGGAUUCCAUGGAGAGAUAUGGAGCUGGGAUGACCUUCUGAAGUCGUCCUGAGUUGAGGAGAAGGGACUUGGUCUUUACAUCCCUAUGUUGGAUGCAGGCUAACCCUGGAAGUUUUGGAGUUAAGAUUUGGGUGCUAAUCUCAUAAAAAGAACUAGAGACUAUUCACUGUUUUCAACUUCCUGAAAGAAUUGAUGUCUGAUUUAUGUUAUUUCUUAUUUGCAUUUAUUCUUUUUAUGUUUGCAAAGAUGCAUCAAUGAUUCUAUCUGAGUCUAGGAUUUUCAUAAUUGUGAGAAGGUUUUUAAAUAAUGUGUUCAAUUGUUAGACUAUUAAAGAAUGACAUUUAAU
rnacentral:lncRNA from 1 species